rnacentral:rRNA from 1 species
AUAAGCCCUGGAAACGGGGUCUAAUACCGAAUAUUCAUUACCUGCUGCAUGGCGGGUGGUGGAAAGCUUUUGCGGUGAAGGAUGGGCUCGCGGACUAUCAGCUUGUUGGUGGGGUGAUGGCCUACCAAGGCUUUGACGGUUAGCCGGCCUGAGAGGGUGUCCGGCCACACUGGGACUGAGACACGGCCCAGACUCCUACGGGAGGCAGCAGUGGGGAAUAUUGCGCAAUGGGCGGAAGCCUGACGCAGCGACGCCGCGUGAGGGAUGACGGCCUUCGGGUUGUAAACCUCUUUCGACAGGGACGAAGCGAAAGUGACGGUACCUGUAGAAGAAGCACCGGCCAACUACGUGCCAGCAGCCGCGGUAAUACGUAGGGUGCAAGCGUUGUCCGGAUUUAUUGGGCGUAAAGAGCUCGUAGGCGGCGUGUCGCGUCGAAAGUGAAAACCAUAGGCUUAACCUGUGGCUUGCUUUCGGUACGGGCAUGCUCGAGUAUGGUAGGGGAGUCUGGAAUUCCUGGUGUAGCGGUGAAAUGCGCAGAUAUCAGGAGGAACACCGGUGGCGAAGGCGGGACUCUGGGCCAUUACUGACGCUGAGGAGCG